UAAUGCAAACAUCAAAAAUGAAGUUGCUUAGAUCAGGAAGUACUUUAUCAGUGUUUGAAACAAGUGGUAGGAAACCAGCCAUAAGGAACAGGAGACACAUUGGACCUUCUGCUACAGCUUGUGACUGCUUUGCACCUGCGUGACUGAGAAAGGCAAGCAACUCUGAAAGAGCACCUUCCCCACGAAAUCUUCCUGUGCACUAAUCAAGAUGAAAUGCAGACCGGCAUCUUUCGUUGUGGGUUCUAAGAAGAGGUGUUUUAUGAAACAGCAGUUAACCGUGUCCAAAAAUAUCACUUCUAUACCUCAUCUUCAUGAGGCACUGCACCAGCCUGUAUGUAGUCAGUACCAGGACUCAAAACAAUUGAAGCAGAGAGAGCUCAGCCCAACACUACUGUACAAUAGAAGAGAUUCCUAGAGAUUUUAGUCGAAGGUGCACAGAUUUCCUGCCACAGCUACCGUUCUUCAUAAUAUUACUAAUGCUGAGCUACAACGAUUCAACGAUACAACAGCCAAGAGAA
rnacentral:lncRNA from 1 species